rnacentral:rRNA from 1 species
UACGUAGGCAGCGAGCGUUGUUCGGAGUUACUGGGCGUAAAGCGUGCGUAGGCGGUGUCUUAAGUUUGUUGUGAAAUCUCCCGGCUUAACCGGGAGGGUGCGGCGAAUACUGAGAUGCUGGAGUGCCGGAGAGGGAUGCGGAAUUCCAGGUGUAGCGGUGAAAUGCGUAGAUAUCAAGCGGAACACCGGUGGCGAAGGCGGCCUUCUGGACAGUGACUGACGCUGAGACGCGAAAGCGUGGGGAGCAAACAGG